rnacentral:rRNA from 1 species
GUUGUCCGGAAUCAUUGGGCGUAAAGAGCGUGUAGGCGGCCCGAUAAGUCCGCUGUGAAAGUCCAGGGCUCAACCCUGGGAUGCCGGUGGAUACUGUCGGGCUCGAGUCCGGAAGAGGAGUGUGGAAUUCCUGGUGUAGCGGUGAAAUGCGCAGAUAUCAGGAGGAACACCAAUUGCGAAGGCAGCUCGCUGGGACGUUACUGACGCUGAGACGCGAAAGCGUGGGGAGCAAACAGG